rnacentral:rRNA from 1 species
UAGGGAAUCUUCGGCAAUGGACGGAAGUCUGACCGAGCAACGCCGCGUGAGUGAAGAAGGUUUUCGGAUCGUAAAGCUCUGUUGUAAGAGAAGAACGAGUGUGAGAGUGGAAAGUUCACACUGUGACGGUAUCUUACCAGAAAGGGACGGCUAACUACGUGCCAGCAGCCGCGGUAAUACGUAGGUCCCGAGCGUUGUCCGGAUUUAUUGGGCGUAAAGCGAGCGCAGGCGGUUAGAUAAGUCUGAAGUUAAAGGCUGUGGCUUAACCAUAGUACGCUUUGGAAACUGUUUAACUUGAGUGCAAGAGGGGAGAGUGGAAUUCCAUGUGUAGCGGUGAAAUGCGUAGAUAUAUGGAGGAACACCGGUGGCGAAAGCGGCUCUCUGGUCUGUAACUGACGCUGAGGCUCGAAAGUGUGGGGAGCAAACAGGAUUAGAUACCCUGGUAGUCCACGCCGUAAACGAUGAGUGCUAGGUGUUGGGUCCUUUCCGGGACUCAGUGCCGCAGCUAACGCAUUAAGCACUCCGCCUGGGGAGUACGACCGCAAGGUUG